ACCCAGCUAGUUCAGUCGGUAGAGCAUGAGACUCUUAAUCUUAGAGUCGAGGGCUCAGGUCCCAUGUUGGGUU
rnacentral:tRNA from 1 species